rnacentral:rRNA from 1 species
CCUACGGGAGGCAGCAGUGGGGAAUAUUGCACAAUGCGGGGAACCCUGAUGCAGCGACGCCGCGUGAACGACGAAGUACCUCGGUAUGUAAAGCUCUAUCAGCAGGGAAGAAAAUGACGGUACCUGACUAAGAAUCCCCUGCUAAAUACGGGCCAGCAGCCGCGGUAAUACUUAGGGGGCGAGCGUUAUGCGGAUUUACUGGGUGUAAAGGGAGCGCAGGCGGCCUGGCAAGUCGUGAGUGAAAGACCGGGGCCCAACCCCGGGCCAGCAUUGGAAACUGGCGGGCUGGAGUGUCGGAGGGGUAGGCGGAAUUCCUGGUGUAGCGGUGAAAUGCGUAGAUAUUAGGAGGAACACCGGUGGCGAAGGCGGCCUGCUGGACGAUGACUGACGCUGAGGCGCGAAAGCGUGGGUAGCAAACAGGAUUAGAUACCCGAGUAGUC